CAUGUCAUUUCCUGAUUCAGGGUCAACAACAUGGCGCUGUCCAUGGACUAUGUCAUCAAAUGGUUUGAGUGAUAUUUUCCUACGAGUGCCAUCUAUUUCUAUGGUACUUACUUAAUAUUGUACAAGAGCUUAUGCAGAGGCAUUAGAUCGUUAUUCAAUUGAUUGUAUUCGUAGUUUUUUUUUUCCAUCGUCAAAGACUAUUGAUCAAGUGUCUACCUAUUGUUCAAACGUGUGGACUCGCAGUCGAGAGAGGAUGAGAUGGUUUCCAGAGCUGUUUGCCCAGUGUACUGGUGGGGCUGCAGUUUAUGGGAAGUGUGUGACUGCUUCCACCACAGGCAGACAGGAGCUGAGAAAGGACCUGUGUGUUAGUUUGAUGCUCUGAAGGCUUGCUUUGUUUACAGCAGCCAAGAAGAAUCUUCAACACAACCAGGCAAUGGACCCAAUGUCCCCUCCAUGUUCCAUGAACAUCAUAUAGUACUGUAUCAGUAAUGUGCUGGCAGGUGCUGAAAGACUUCUUGUCUCACCUGUUUAAAAUUGGUUUCAGGGGUAAUGCCAGGACAGUGUUUGGACAACACUCUUUUCAAUAAUGCUUUAAUGUCAUACUGUGUACUAACAUGGAGCCCACUACCGAAGACUUGUAGGACUGUGUCUUUAUAAUAUAAUGUCCUUUAUGGCUCAGUUGGUAGAGCAUGGAGCUUGCAACGGCAGGAUUGUGGGUUUGUGUCCUGGGGUCACUGAUACGUAAAAUGUAUGCACAGCAAGGAUGACUUAGUCGAUUUGGAUAAAAGCAUCUGCUAAAUGGAAUAUUGUUAUGUAAAUAUGUGUAUGGGGUCGCUUUUGUUCAUGUACACAACACAUUUUGACAACUGAAACUAUUUUGCACAUUUUCAAAAAAUACAAUGAGUUGAAAGCUUUACAGAAAAAUAAACUCUUAUUCUAAAGAAGUCAUGAGCAGUUAUGAAGCCACUAUUGAUGUCCUCUCUCUGUGGAGUCCAUUUCAUUCUCUGUCCUUAUAAUAGCUACAGCACAGUGCACCAUUGUAGAAGUCAAAGCCACUGUUUCAAAUGCUACAAGAACAGAGAGAUGACAAUUAAAUUGCAUAAAUAAACCACC